rnacentral:rRNA from 1 species
GUCUACAGUCACACCACCCUCAACGCACCGGAUCUCAUCUGACCUCAGAAGCUAAGCAAGGUCGGGCCUGGUUAGUACUUGGAAGGGAGAACUGACUCAGGAAUUGUUUCCU